AUGACUCUAAUUGUGAGGUGUGUAAACAUGUCAAGUACUACUACAAAAAUAGAGGAGUUUUUUCUGGAGUUCUUGAAGGUGGAUGAUACAUCCGGGCUUGGACUUUAUAAUGUGUUAAUAGAUUCACUUAAAUCUGUUGGUUUGGAUGUUAAAGAUGUUUGUGGACAAGGGUAUGACAAUGGUUCGAACAUGAAGGGAAAACACCAAGGGGUACAGAGCAGACUACUUGAAACUAAUCCAAGAGCAUUAUUCAUGCCAUGCGCUUGUCAUAGCCUGAACCUUACUCUUAGUGAUAUGGCAAAAUCUUGCGAUAAAGCUAUUACCUUCUUUGGUGUUGUGCAAAGAAUUUAUAUAUUGUUUUCAAGGUCUACUAAAAGAUGGCAGCUAUUGCUUGAUCAUGUUCCAAAAAUGACAGUUAAUUCUUUGUGUAACACUCGAUGGGAGAGUCGAAUAAAGAAUGUUCAGGCUAUCAGAUAUCAAGCGCCCGAGUUAAGAAAAGCAUUACUGGAAUUGAAGAGAACUUUUACCGAUGACGCCAAGACUAAGAAUUGA
rnacentral:rRNA from 1 species